GAUGAACGCUAGCGGCAGGCUUAAUACAUGCAAGUCGAGGGGCAGCAUGGGUAGCAAUACCUGAUGGCGACCGGCAAACGGGUGCGGAACACGUACAGAACCUUCCUUCGAGCGGGGAAUAGCCCGGAGAAAUCCGGAUUAAUACCCCAUAGUAAGUUGAAAAGGCAUCUUUUUAAUUUUAAAGAUUUAUCACUUGAAGAUGGCUGUGCGCCUGAUUAGGUAGUUGGCGGGGUAAUAGCCCACCAAGCCUUCGAUCAGUAACUGGUGUGAGAGCACGACCAGUCACACGGGCACUGAGGCACGGGCCCGACUCCUACGGGAGGCAGCAGUAAGGAAUAUUGGUCAAUGGACGCAAGUCUGAACCAGCCAUGCCGCGUGGAGGAUGAAGGUCCUCUGGAUUGUAAACUUUC
rnacentral:rRNA from 1 species